rnacentral:rRNA from 1 species
GACGAACUGUCCUAACGUUGUUCGGAAUCACUGGGCUUAAAGGGCGCGUAGGCGGUCGAACAAGUCAGGGGUGAAAUCCUGCAGCUUAACUGUAGAAGUGCCUCUGAUACUGUUCGUCUGGAGGGAGAUAGGGGUGUGUGGAACUUCCGGUGGAGCGGUGAAAUGCGUUGAGAUCGGAAGGAACGCCCGUGGCGAAAGCGAGGUCCUGGACGCCAUCUGACGCUGAGACGCGAAAGCCAGGGGAGCGAACGGG